rnacentral:rRNA from 1 species
UCCUCCCUCUUUCUUCGUGCUUAACACAUGCAAGUCGAACGGAAAGGCCCUGCUUGCAGGGUGCUCGAGUGGCGAACGGGUGAGUAACACGUGGGUGAUCUGCCCCUUACUUUGGGAUAAGCCUGGGAAACUGGGUCUAAUACUGGAUAGGACCAUGCUGUAGGUGGUGUGGUGGAAAGAUUAGUUUCGGUAAGGGAUGAGCUCGCGGCCUAUCAGCUUGUUGGUGGGGUAAUGGCCUACCAAGGCGUCGACGGGUAGCCGGCCUGAGAGGGUGGACGGCCACAUUGGGACUGAGAUACGGCCCAGACUCCUACGGGAGGCAGCAGUGGGGAAUAUUGCACAAUGGGCGCAAGCCUGAUGCAGCGACGCCGCGUGGGGGAUGACGUCCUUCGGGUUGUAAACUCCUUUCAGCCAUGACGAAGCCCUUGUGGUGACGGUAGUGGUAGAAGAAGCACCGGCUAACUACGUG